ACCGAAAGGAACUGUUUGGGGAAAGAG
rnacentral:piRNA from 1 species